GCAUAUCAAUAAGCGGAGGAAAAGAAACCAACAGGGAUUGCCUCAGUAACGGCGAAGUGAAGCGGCAAAAGCUCAAAUUUGAAAUCUGGCUCCGUUAGGUGCCCGAAGUUGUAAUUUGGAGAGGAUACUUCGGGUGUGGCCGCGGCGUAAGUCCCUUGGAACAGGGCGUCAGAAGAGGGUGAGAAUCCCGUCUUCCGCCGCCGGACCACGCCCAUGCGAAGUUCCUUCGACGAGUCGAGUUGUUUGGGAAUGCAGCUCUAAGUGGGUGGUAAAUUUCAUCUAAAGCUAAAUAUUGGCCGGAGACCGAUAGCGAACAAGUAGAGUGAUCGAAAGGUUAAAAGCACCUUGAAAAGGGAGUUAAAUAGCACGUGAAAUUGUUGAAAGGGAAGCGCUUGCAGCCAGACUCGGUCAUAGGGGCUCAACGGGCAUGCGUGCCCGUGUACUCCCCUGUGUUCGGGCCAGCAUCAGUUCUGGCGGUUGGUUAAAGGCCCUGGGAAUGUAUCGUCCUCCGGGACGUCUUAUAGCCCAGGGUGUAAUGCAGCCAGCUGGGACUGAGGAACGCGCUUCGGCACGGAUGCUGGCAUAAUGGCUGUAAGCGGCCCGUCUUGAAACACGGACCAAGGAGUCUAACAUCCACGCGAGUGUUCGGGUGUCAAACCCGUGCGCGCAGUGAAAGCGAACGGAGGUGGGAGCCCGCAAGGGUGCACCAUCGACCGAUCCUGAAGUCUUCGGAUGGAUUUGAGUAAGAGCGUGGCUGUUGGGACCCGAAAGAUGGUGAACUAUGCCUGAAUAGGGUGAAGCCAGAGGAAACUCUGGUGGAGGCUCGCAGCGGUUCUGACGUGCAAAUCGAUCGUCACAAUUUGGGUAUAGGGGCGAAAGACUAAUCGAACCAUCUGGUAGCUGGUCCUGC
rnacentral:rRNA from 1 species